UACAGAGGGAGCAAGCGUUGUUCGGAUUUACUGGGCGUAAAGGGCGCGUAGGCGGUCGUGACAAGUCACUUGUGAAAUCUCCGGGCUUAACUCGGAACGGUCAAGUGAUACUGUCGGACUAGAGUACAGAAGGGGCAACUGGAAUUCUCGGUGUAGCGGUGAAAUGCGUAGAUAUCGAGAGGAACACCUGCGGCGAAGGCGGGUUGCUGGGCUGAUACUGACGCUGAGGCGCGAAAGCCAGGGGAGCGAACGGG
rnacentral:rRNA from 1 species